rnacentral:rRNA from 1 species
ACGGGAGGCAGCAGUGGGGAAUAUUGGGCAAUGGGCGAAAGCCUGACCCAGCGACGCCGCGUGAAGGAAGAAGAUCCUCGGGUUGUAAACUUCAGUCAACAGGGAAGAAGAAAAUGACGGUACCUGUGGAGGAAGCCACGGCUAACUACGUGCCAGCAGCCGCGGUAAUACGUAGGUGGCGAGCGUUAUCCGGAUUUACUGGGUGUAAAGGGCGUGUAGGCGGGAAUGCAAGUCAGAUGUGAAAAUUAUGGGCUCAACUCAUAACCUGCAUUUGAAACUGUAUUUCUUGAGAGUCGGAGAGGUAAACGGAAUUCCCGGUGUAGCAGUGAAAUGCGUAGAUAUCGGGAGGAACACCAGUGGCGAAGGCGGUUUACUGGACGACAACUGACGCUGAGACACGAAAGCGUGGGGAGCAAACAGGAUUAGAUACCCUGGUA